GAAAUGCGAUACUUGGUGUGAAUUGCAGAAUCCCGUGAACCAUCGAAUCUUUGAACGCACCUUGCGCUCCUUGGUAUUCCGAGGAGCAUGCCUGUUUGAGUGUCAUUUAAUUCUCAACCCCCUCCAGCUUUUGUGGGCUGGCUUGGUGGCUUUGGAUGUGGGGGAUUUAUUUGCGGGCCUCUUCAGAGGUCGGCUCCCCUGAAAUGCAUUAGCGGAACCGUUUGCGGGAACUGUCACUGGUGUGAUAACUAUCUAUGCCAAAGGCAACUGCUCUCUGGUCAUUCUGCUUCUAACUGUCCGUCCUUGGACAAUGAUAUUUGAAUGCUUGACCUCAAAUCAGGUAGGACUACCCGCUGAACUUAA
rnacentral:misc_RNA from 1 species